CCGCCUACGGGAGGCAGCAGCCUACGGGAGGCAGCAGUGGGGAAUAUUGCACAAUGGGCGCAAGCCUGAUGCAGCGACGCCGCGUGGGGGAUGACGGCCUUCGGGUUGUAAACUCCUUUCGCCAGGGACGAAAAAGUUGCGACCAAUAAUCGCGUUUUGUGACGGUACCUGGAUAAGAAGCACCGGCUAACUACGUGCCAGCAGCCGCGGUAAU
rnacentral:rRNA from 1 species